GGGGAACAGAACAUUCACAGGGGGCAGACUCUGGGUAAAGAGUAGAAGCAAGCAAGUGCCCAUCAACAAAUGACUGAAAAACAAAAUGUGACAGAUACAGUCACACAGUGGAGUAUUAGUCUACCUUAAACACAUGACAACAUGGAUGAGCCUUAAGGACAACACACUAAGUAAAAUAAGCCAGUCACAAAU